ensembl:lncRNA
CUUUGCUCUUCCAUCACAGAUUAUGGCUUCUUUACACCUUGUCUGUUGGAGCUACAAACCCAAGAGGAGCUUUCCCUCUCUCCCUGCCUCUCUCUUUUAAAUUAGGUACUCAGUCCAAUCGAGUCUUCAAAGAAUAAGUUUUAAAGUUAUGACAACGAUGAACCCUACUUAUUUUUCUCCAUAAGCUUCUUGAAGUCAGGGUAGCAGAGGUGGGAUACAGGGAUAUGGAUAUGGGACACAGGGAGGAGGCUUUCUUUUCCUUUUCUUUCAAUGGGAGAAUCAAUGCAAGUUCUGCGUACAGUUUCUCUGCGUUUCAAAGUGUGCAGAUAGAAAGAAUGAUAUGCUCGGUGGAGGUGCUGAUGGAAUAUAGAUAUAUAUGUGCAUGAAAAAUUAAAAAGCAACUGUGGAAUGCCUUUCCAGAGCUGCUGCAGUGACGGCUAUAGUUUGACAUACAAGUGGAUUCAUUACCACGAUUACAAACAAAAGUUACACACACCAUUUGUACUUAUGCAACACACUGCUCCGCCAAAUCCUCGGGACUACAGCGGCAUUUUAAACUACUGUUUGUUGUUGUUGUUUUUUGGUCUUGCCUGAAAAUUGCUAAUAUUCAUCUCCGAGCCUGUAACUUUUUAAGUAUUAGGUCCGGCGUUAAGCUGACCGCACGUUUCAGGGGACAGGGUGCUUCUUGCAUGGCAGGCACCCCUUGGUGGGACCGCCGAGCGAUCGAGGGCACUUCCCGAGUCCCGGGGGCACGGAGAGGGGCUGCCGCUGCCUCCUCGCACAGGGGCUCUCGGUAAGCAGCACCCACCGGCCGAGUGACACCGCGAUGGAGGCAGGAGUGCGCGGCACCGGCGCUGGGGAUGGCAGGAGGUAACCUACACAUGGCUCUCGGCGAAGCUCCGUGGGAGGACGGUUCCCGGCGGGGAUGGGAACGGGGUCUCGCUGCGCGCCCCCCCCCCUUAUCCCCGGGAGCCCGCCGCCCCCCAAACCCCCUCCCAGCUCCCAGGAGCGGGGCGGGGGGCGCGGCGCUGCCUGACGCCGGCUUGGUCGGGGGCGGGACCGCCGGGACCGCGCUGCUCCCUCCCGCCCGCCCCCGUCCCCAUCGCCGUCCCCGUCCCCGCCGCCGGGUCCCGGGCCCCAUCUCCGCCCCCGCGCUGUCCCCGCCGGGCCCGGCGCUGCGGGGACCGCCCCGGCCGCGGCAUGGCCGGCGCGCUGGGCAGGGGGGCGGCGGGCUGGCGGCUGCGGAGCGCGGCGGGCGGCAGGAAGGAGAAGCCGCCGGGCGGCAAGCCCCAGCCGCCACCGCACGAUGUGUACUGUAGGAGCAAGGCAUGCUGAAGUGGAUGAUACUGUUAUACUGCAAGGUAAGCCAUUUACAUUUGCCUCCUGACAGUCAGUGUUGAUUGCAAAUGACAUUAUUGGGCCUGAUUUAAAUAAUGACAAGUAAAAGAAUGAUGAUUUUGUCUCAGCUAGGGAAAUGAGAGGUAGGAUGGAGUAGUCUCUUAUGUGCAGUGGCUUAGGGGAAGGUCACUUGUUCAGUUGAUGCUUUGCUUACGUGCAGUGUUUACUUUUCACAUGCUUCUGUGACAAACAAAAUGAAAAUGUGUCAGAUUUCAAAUUAGAAUGAGAUGCAAGUAAAUCCAUAUGUAUUCAGAAGUAUAUAUUUUUUUUGUCCUGGUUGCCCAUAGCUUGGCAAUUUUCCUUAUAUUAAAGAUUUUUCAGGGAAAAACCAAACUCGACAAUAUCAAAAUUCACAAUAGUAGACAAUAGUAGUAGUAACUUAGCAUGGUUUCUUUUGUUUUGUUUUGUUUCUAUAGAGUUUCUCAGGAAACUAAAACCAAACCGAUUGGUCAGAUAUUCAUUAAAGUACUAGUAAAUAUAUUGCAGCCUUGUGAAUCAUACAGUCAACACUGAAGUUUUAACUAUUGUAGUCUACACAGUUUUUAAUUAUUUAUUGUUUCCCUUUUCUGAUUAGAACCCAGUCCUUCAAAGUAUCUGUC